rnacentral:rRNA from 1 species
GACGAACGCUGGCGGCGUGCCUAAUACAUGCAAGUCGAACGAGAGCAACCGGUGCUUGCACUGGUCAAUCUAGUGGCGAACGGGUGGGUAACACGUGGGUAACCUGCCCAUCAGAGGGGGAUAACAUCCGGAAACGGAUGCUAAAACCGCAUAGGUCUUCGAACCGCAUGGUUUGAAGAGGAAAAGAGGCGCAAGCUUCUGCUGAUGGAUGGACCCGCGGUGCAUUAGCUAGUUGGUGAGGUAACGGCUCACCAAGGCCGUGAUGCAUAGCCGACCUGAGAGGGUGAUCGGCCACAUUGGGACUGAGACACGGCCCAAACUCCUACGGGAGGCGGCAGUAGGGAAUCUUCCGCAAUGGACGCAAGUCUGACGGAGCAACGCCGCGUGAGUGAAGAAGGUUUUCGGAUCGUAAAACUCUGUUGUUAGAGAAGAACAAGUGCUAGAGUAACUGUUAGCGCCUUGACGGUAUCUAACCAGAAAGCCACGGCUAACUACGUG